rnacentral:lncRNA from 1 species
CGACAGAUAUGCAGCUACACAAUGUUUUUACUAUCUUGAGUUCUUUUUACCCAGAUUCCAUAGCUAAAUCCAGAUGUAUUAAUAGGUAGAGACUACUUCAGAAAGGAUGAGACUAUUUUCUUGCUUAAUUAUCCACACAGUAAUUCAGAAAUGUAUAUUGAACACUUUUUAUAUGCCAGGCACUGCUGGGCACUGGAAAUAUAAAAGUAAGCAAAAAUGAAAAACUAUCCUGUCCUCCUGAGGCUUAGCAUCUAAGGGAGACAGGCAUUAGUCAACCCCGUGUGGCUGUGAAUCAGCCAUGAUGCUGAGUGCUACAAGAGAGGACUGUGCGGCUGGGAGGGCUUAUAACAGGAUUUGACCUAGUUAGGGAAGAUCUGAGGAAGUGAUGAAAGAAUGGAAAUCAAUAUGUAAGAGCUCACAAGUCAGAGUGAGAUGUUUCUUCCUAUACUGCCUGCUUCUAAUGAGCAUCCACUUCAUUGAACCACCUCUUCAUUGAGCCAAACCUACCAUACAGGGAUACAUUCUCUGGAGGAAAGUUGAGCAACUAUUGCAUUUGGGACAUUAGAGUAUGGGUGGGCUGACAGGUAUGUGUAUGUUUAUUAUCCAAGACAGCCAAGGUGUUUAUCCUGUUACAACAUCCCAGAGGACAGAGGCUCUUAUUUGUGACUCUUUUUUCUUACCUGUAACACCAGAGGCAUAACGUACAUCAUAAUGCUGCAUCUUGUUGACGCUUCAAUGCUCACAAUUCAAAGGUGAUUUCUGAAGCACUUUGUUACACUGGGGACAGCUCCUAAAUCCUCCCACUCUUUUUUUGCCUCACCUUGGAGUCUUGGGCUCUGUUGAUCACUGACUCUGCCAGGUCUUUCAGCAGGCAAGACAGCUCAGUUAAAUUGAGUUUGGACUCCACUGUAGUGCAUGCAUGAGACAGCACCCCCAAUCCCCAACACCCACACACAAACUUUAAAUAUUUGUAACAGAAUUGUUACCAUUAAUAUUGCUUAAAGGCUAACACAUUAGCCAGAACCUAGAUGUCUUCUGGAAAUUUUUUAUUGCAAUGUUACUUCAUCUACAUAAAGUUGUCCAAUCACUGAAACCUCCAACUGAAAUAAAUGGUAAGCUUUUUGUUCUCAAU